GAUGAAGAACGCAGCGAAAUGCGAUAAGUAGUGUGAAUUGCAGAAUUCAGUGAAUCAUCGAAUCUUUGAACGCACAUUGCGCCCCUUGGUAUUCCAUGGGGCAUGCCUGUUCGAGCGUCAUCUGCACUCUCAAGCACUGCUUGGUGAUGGGCGUCUGUCCCGCCUCUGCGCGCGGACUCGCCCCAAAGGUAUUGGCAGCGGUCCUGUCCGCCUCUCGCGCAGCACAGAUGCGCUUCUCGAGGCUUCGGGGCCCGCGUCCAUGAAGCUCUUUUACCACGUUUGACCUCGGAUCAGGUAGGGAUACCCGCUGAACUUAAGCAUAUCAAUAAGCGGAGGA
rnacentral:misc_RNA from 1 species